rnacentral:lncRNA from 1 species
UCAGCUCCCAAGAGGCCUCGAGGGGCCCAGGCUUGGCCAGUCUCUUGGCCAGUCUCUUGGCCCGCCUGUUGGCCCGCCUCUUGGCCCGCCUCUUGGCCCCAGUUGGUGGCGAGUUGAGUUCGGCUGUUGGUGCAGGGGCAGGCUCAGAGUCACAGAGGGCAGGAGGUUAAUUGCAGGCAGGGAUGGAGUCAGCAUCAUUUUACGGAUCUUUCUGAACCCCGUGGUGCUCGUCUGUGAACCCGCUGUCUGCGGUGUCGGGGACUGAAACCAGGAGAUCGGAAGCUUGGCUCAGAAAAUUAUGCAUAUGGCGCUAUGUGCCCGGUGUCACGCGUGCGACGUCGUCCACUUCUGUAUGUCCAGUGUCGUCGGGGACCAUCCGGGGCCAUGCCAGAUGUACUCGAUGAACACGGAUGCCGACGCCUUCCUCCGGCCGUGCUGCUCUUCGUUGAUUCAACGUAAAGCACUGAUGAUGAUGCAGCCCCAGCAGUACUGUGAGGUUAAAGUUACGGUCACCACAAAAUCUUCUCAGAGACCCACAACUUUGGAGCACAUUUUCCUGCUUUACUGAGGAGACUAUCAUGCCGGAUCAAAUCAGAAUCUUUGCUCAAGUCAAGAUAUUGCUAUCACUUCCUCUUAUUUUACUGCUUGAGAUUUCUUUUUUUUCUGCGAGUUAUUUUUUAGUUUGCUGCGUAUUAUCGUCAUCAGUGGAAUUUAUCGAGAGCGUAUUGUGUGCAGAGCACUGUACUGAGUACUUGGAAAAGUACAGUACAACAGAGUCGACAGGCGCGUUCCUUACCCACAGUGAGCUCUGAGUCUAGAGGGGGAGCUUCCUCCGUGUUACGGUUGGUUCGUGUUAAGGAUGGAAACAUAACUAGCGACAAGCACCUCCUUCAUCAUGGGCCCUUCCUUCCCUUUCUAGUCAGAUGUCCCUCAGCUAAGAUUUGUGCCAUCUCUUGGGUCUUUCUCGGUGUUGGAUUCUGAGAGGUGACCCAGCCGUGACCUUUCAGGCGGCAGGCUAGACAGUAGGUUGCCACCGCUGCGCCUGCCCGGCAAUUAGCAGCUAAUUGCCCCGGAGCUAGUUCAGAAGGUCAGGGGAGUCAGGUCAGAGGCUCACCCUCACUCCAACGGGCAAGAUGCGUUUUCCGGGGCGCUCGGAAUCGCCG